rnacentral:lncRNA from 1 species
UCGGCCUGCGCCGGCGAGGUCGGGCGCGACCUGGCGGUUGGUGGCGGCUCGAUCCGAUCCUGGAUCGGGAGAGGAGGAAGGGAGGUGGGGGGCCGGCCGUCUCUGUGCCUCCUCGACGCCGAGCUGCGGCUGCUCCGUGUGUGUGCUCUCUCUCUCUCUCUCUCUCUCUCUCUCUCUCUCUCAACCACCGUGCUGUGACGUUGCUUCCCAAAUUGACCGUUGCCUCGUCUCCUCCGACCUCAAUACCGUCCUGGGCGGCGCCGGUACCGAGGCGCCACCUCUGCCUCCAACCCCACUGGGCAAGGAGCUCGAGGUGUUUGGGGGAUUCUUGUCCCUGAUGUUAAUUAGGGUGACUAUGCCCGUGAGUUCGCCCGUGCCCAUGCGCUUGCUGUAGCCAUGUGGUUUCUGAGAGUAUUGUGCUUGCUUCAAAUAGAUUAUGGUGGUUGGAUUUGGUUCUCUUGGUGGUAUCUUCCCUACCAUCUCAUUUUUUUCGUGGCCAGCAGGAGUAGGAGGAAGGGAGGAGGAAGGGAGGAUGAGGAAGUAGACCAGCAGGAGGAAGAGAGGAUCUCGGGACGCGCUCCUUAUUGGACUUACUGUAGUAUAAACAGGUACAUGUUGUGCAGCUCAUGCUUUUUUCUCUUGCCAUCAGUGAGCUUUUCUCCUUUGAUGUUACUGGUUUUGGUAUGUUGUCCCCGUCGAUGUGUGUUACCUUAGUUGAUACUGCUUGGUAGCUUUCUUCUUGUUCAGGAAAUGGUCACGGUUAGUUAGAUUUCUUUGUUAGUUCCUGUCAAUAAUAUUCUCAUCUCUAGCUACAUUCCAACGGAGGGAUUUUUUUGUUCUCUUUCUUGCUUUGUUGGGUACCUUUACUGGCGAGCAAAGCUUUGGAUGUAGCUAAAUUCAUCCAAAGUAGAUUUUUGUUGUCUUCCAUGCAAUUGCGGAGCUACCACCAAAAAGGUGGGCAGGCCAGAGACUACAAACUGUGCUAUCAAACUGAAAAUCACUGCAUUGUUGUGGGCAGGGCUUCAUAUAAACUUCUUUUUGCUUCAGUCUUGGGUGGGCCAUGACACAUCCGGCCUGGCCGUAGCUCUGCCGGUGCUUCCUUGGUUUCCCGCAUGCCUCAUUUUUUCUCUGUCAAGGAAGGAUUUUUCUGUUCUAUGUUCUUUGGUUGGUGUUUCUUUUUCCUUGUACUGGAGUGUAAGAGAUGAAUGGCAUGUCUGUGAUAUGAUGAUUAGUAUGGUACUUACUAAUUGGUUAUUUUGGAUAAACUAAGUGGGUCUGGUCCAGGAUUAAGGACAAAAUAGUUUCAGAUAUCUUAGGUUCAGUGUUAUUGCUGGCUCUGGAUUCAGACUCAGGUUCAUGUUGAUGUGUGUUGUAACAAAUUAGGUGCCAACCUGGAACAUGAGAAAAUUUACAUCUCUAGAAAAGGACCAGUUAGAUGUGUGCCUUAAUCCUGUUUGGUUCAUAUGCAUUGCUUCUGCUUUUUAUUUGUACUAUCAAAACAUUUGCCGUUUAUGGAUUCCUUAUUAGUACUACGAGCCUGACAGGCUGUUUAUUUUCUGUUUGGCUCAAAUCCUCCGAAUUCAUGAAUUGCUUAUUAGUUCUACGUGUCUGGCCGGCUGUACACUGCAUGGCCCCAUAAUCAUAUUUACUAGCAAAUAAGAUUUGAGGUGUACAAUGUAAUCGAAUAUGAAAUGAGCCCUUCUUUUCAUGCUUGGCUGAUGUGUUGGUUAGUACUUAUUUCAUGUUCUGUUUUCUAGGUUUUGUAGAUGGUGGCCUUACAGGUUGUGCACCAUAUGUUCUUAGAACCAGAUUUGCUAGCCUGUGGAAUUUGGAUUAUUUCACUGUAUAUAUAUGCUGAUGUCAAGUGGCCUAUCAAUAUUUGCUUGCUUGUUAUUAGUCCUUGUUCCCUGCUUUGCUUCUUAGGUUUUGCAGAUAGCCUGACAGGAUGUACACAGCAUGCUCUUAGAACUAGAUUGGAAUACGAAGUGUUUUGGUGUGACCUGAUAUAUAGUUGAUCCUUUUUCUAUCCUUGGUUGAUGUGUUGAUACUUAUUUCCCUUUCAUGUUCUGCAGGUACUAAACCAGCAAUUGUUGUUAGCUGUGUAUUUGGAGGUUGCGCAUGUAAUCUGUGUAUGGGUAGUGAUGUUUUAGUUUACAUGGCCAGUGCCGUGUCGUUUUUUGGCUGAUGGCUUUAGGUUCUAGAUGCUUAAUUAACUUGGUAUUUCUAUUGUUUGAUCAUGUGUUGAUUUUUUUACAGGCCUUGCCUUUAGCUUUGUGGAAUAUUUAGAUCGCGGCGAUAGGUUCGAGCGACGCCAACCGCGGCCAACGACCUUGAUGCGGAUGGCAGCGACUGAACCGGUGGACAUGGUCGACGUAUAGGGGAAUCCACAUUUCUCUUUGCUUCCAUGUCCACAGGAGAAAAUUGCUGAACAUUUUGGCAUCCCAAGAUUUCCUCCCCACGGUAUGCAGGUGUGUGCGGCAUAUGUUUGCGUAAAUGUCCGAAUUGGAAAGACUUCUUUCUGUGUGCAUCUUCUUUUGUUCGAUCUGUGUGAUCUCUUGUCUUCUUUUACCUUGCUUCAACUUAAUGUCCUGAACAUGCUCAUAGUCUUUCAAAAAAAAAACUGGCUGUAGUAACAUCUAUUUACAUAAAAACCGGAUCACUUGCAAGUCCUAAUAGUAAUAUUGAUCACUAUUUUAAAGGCUAGCGACAGAUUCAACUUGAGCAUCUUUCCUGACCUAUAUAUGAUAAGGAGGUACUCCCUCCGUAAAGAAACAUAAGAGCGUUUAGAUCACUAAACUAUCAGCUACCUUAGUGAUCUAAACGCUCUUAUUUUUCUUACGAUGGGAGAAGAAGAAUAAGAUGGCAAUGAGUCCGAUAAAGUUUUUGUCAAACAGUCUGAUGCUUUUAUUCACGUAUGUGUGCUGUAAAAUUUGCGGAACCAGUACAAGUUAUUGCACAAUCACUGUGCCAGUUUUUUAUGGCUUGUUUAUUUCAUUCUGUUUCGGUAGUUGCUUUCCCUGGCGUCAAAUCUUUUGUUAGAGAGAAUGGUUCACAAAACUGUUCUUCUUGAACCGUUAUGCUUGCCUAUCUGUUGUGUGUGUGUGUGUGUGUGUAUAAUAUAUAGAUAGAUUCAAAUUUAGAUGGUUGUAUUUGUAAUAACUGGCUCGGCUUGUACCAUCUUUUGGGUUGGCACAGCAAAACUCACAUUAUGAUAUGACUUGUGUUAAGUAUACUAACUCCUAACCAAUUCCUUUCCUUUGAAGUGGCUCAAGGAAGCUGAAGAGGAAGGCUAAGAUGAUGAAGAAGAGUAGAGCCGGAGUGGAAUGCAUCGUUCUGCAAUUUGGGUGGUGGAAAUUGUUCUUACCUUGCGUCCUAUCCCUAGCCUUGAACAACAUCUCUCUAAAUCCAUCCCUGAUCUGCAACACCUUUUUUUGGGAGGUUGCAGGUGUGUACGGCAUAUGUUUGCGUAAAUGCCCGUAUUGGAAAGACUUCUUUUUGUGUGCAUCUUCUUUUGUUCGAAAAGGGCUAGCUUUCACCGUGAAUCAUUAGGACAGUGUGGCAUAUGAGGUGGUAUAGAUGGAUUAGUUACAAAUAUAUUAGGUACUUGAACUACUUAUCAUGAUCCUGAUUUCGAGCGUUUGAGCCGAGAUCGAUGACCGUGAAUCAUAAGAUGACCGUGAAUCAUAAGGACUGUUAGAGAAGAGAAGAAGAUUCUUGGUUGUUACUGUUGUGAAAGCAUGGAUUGUGUUGUCAUCUGUUCCUUUCUCGUCUACAUAAGUUCAUGAAUCAUAAAGCAGGGCCUAUGCAGCUGUA